GACGAACGCUGGCGGCGUGCUUAACACAUGCAAGUCGAACGGUGAAGCGCCUUCCUUUUUGGUGGGUGUGGAUGAGUGGCGAACGGGUGAGUAACACGUGAGUAACCUGCCCCCUUCUUCUGGAUAACCGCAUGAAAGUGUGGCUAAUACGGGAUAUUCUGGGUCUGUCGCAUGAUGGGUCUGGGAAAGAUAUUGUUUCGGUGGGGGAUGGGCUCGCGGCCUAUCAGCUUGUUGGUGGGGUGAUGGCCUACCAAGGCGGUGACGGGUAGCCGGCCUGAGAGGGUGGACGGUCACACGGGGACUGAGACACGGCCCAGACUCCUACGGGAGGCAGCAGUGGGGAAUAUGGCACAAUGGGCGCAAGCCUGAUGCAGCGACGCCGCGUGAGGGAUGGAGGCCUUCGGGUUGUGAACCUCUUUCGCCAGUGAAGCAGGCCUGCCUUGUUUGUGGGUGGGUUGACGGUAGCUGGAUAAGAAGCGCCGGCUAACUACGUG
rnacentral:rRNA from 1 species